CCAAGGAGGUGCAGUCCAUGCAGUGGGAGCCAAGGUUUGGCUUUCUCUGCACUUUCCUCUGCACUGCCCUGUGGAAAUGAUCCGGGGAAUUCCAUGCGAUUAUCAGGCUUCUGAAGAUGCUCCGGUAGCUGGUGGCGUACUCCGAGAAGGUCAUUCAAAGGCUCAUAUUCCCACAUGUCUGGUGGUCGGGAAGAAAAAAAAUGGAACUGCAUUGAUCCUGAGAUUCUAAAGCGUAUCAACACCAAAUAAAACAAGCUUUCCCACAUAUACAAUAGAACAGCAAAAGAGGAUCAUAUGUAAGACUGAUAAUUUCUGCUGUUAAUCAUAGGAUUCAAUGUGGGAAAGGACCUUCUAUUUCAACACCUUCAUUCGAGAGAUGAUGAAGCCAAGAAGUAUCCCUGAAGAGAGGCUGCUUCCUGGAGGCACUGAAGGCAUGGUGGCCAUCAUCAUCUCCUCCCUGCUGUGAUACUUCUACUCUGGAGGAGAGAAGGAAACCCAAGUGAGGGAUAAGAAGAAGACCAGAAGGUCUUGUCAUCUAAAGAAAAUUUCUCUUAAUCUUGGAGCCUGGAUCUCCCUGGCAGUGGAAUAAAAUUUUGCCCUGAGGACUGCGUUCCACAAAUGUGGGUAUGUAUGCUGUCAUCGUCGUCACCACCAUCAUCAUCAAUUUCCCUACCAGUUAUUAUUUAGAAUUAUCAUUGGGUUUAUGUAGAAAAGACCACUUAGGAACGGCAGGAUGGGAGAGAGGGAGGAGAAUACUGUGAAGCAGGGGAAGAGGAAAAAGUAGAAAGAAGGAAGUAGGAGAGAUACAAAAGAAAUGGACAAUGGAAGAUGGUAGGAAGACAGGUGGGGGCAGCAAGGUGGCACUGCAGUGGAUAGAGCAUUAGAACUGGAGUCAGGAAGACUCAUAUUCAUGAGUUUAAAUCUGGACUCAGACACUUCCCAGCUCUUGGACUUUGGGCAAGAAACU